rnacentral:snoRNA from 1 species
AAAGCAGGCUGCAAUUACAGUGCUUCAUUCUGUGGGAGUACUGCCAUUUCCCUGCUGAGAGUAACUCUGCUAAUGCUGUCUUGGUUUCAUCUGUACGGUGCUGAAACCGUUUGUUCUUAGCACUUACAAGU